AUCCAACUGACGAGUCCCAAAUAAGACGAAAACACACAUCCUGGGU
rnacentral:hammerhead_ribozyme from 1 species